CUUUUUUUUUUUUAUCUUUGAUUUGUUCUGGUCCAUUUUUGUGUAGGGCAGUGGUUCCGUGAACGGGAGCCCCUUGCUGUCAACAUCUGGUGCUAGCACCCCCGGCCGUGGUGGGCGGAGGCAGCUCCCCCAGACACCCCUGACUCCCCGCCCCAGCAUCACCUACAAGACCGCCAACUCCUCACCCAUCCACUUCGCCGGGGCUCAGACCAGCCUCCCUGCCUUCUCCCCGGGCCGGCUCAGCCGUGGGCUUUCUGAACACAACGCCCUGCUGCAGAAAGACCCCCUCAGCCAGCCCCUGGCCCCUGGUUCUCGAAUCGGCUCUGACCCGUCUGGACAGCGAGGCCUCUGUCCACGCCCUGCCUGAGGACACGCUCACUUUCGAGGAGGCUGUGGCCACCAACUCAGGCCGCUCCUCCAGGACUUCCUACGUGUCCUCCCUGACCUCCCAGUCUCACCCUCUCCGCCGCGUGCCCAAUGGUUACCACUGCACCCUGGGACUCAGCUCAGGCGGCCGAGCGCGGCACAGCUACCACCACCCUGACCAAGACCACUGGUGCUAGCUGCACCGUGACUGCUCAGACGCCUGCAUGCAGCAGGCCUGUGUUCCAGUGGAUGAGUUUUAUCAUCCACACGGGGCAGCAGCCCCUGGGGGGAGGCCUCGCCCACCUUGGUGAGGCUCCUGCGGCCCCUCCCUCCCCCUCCUUCCCUCUUUUACUCUAGACGACGAAUAAAGCCCUGUUAGAGGAUGCGGCUCUCUGUCCCCUUCCUGUCCUGCCUUCCUGGGUCUCGUACCACACACCAGACCCUAAAGUGCAGGCUGCUGUGUGUAGCUGAGAAGGACCCGGGAGUCCAAAUCCCGUGUCCUGGGACUCAGCAUCCAGGGUGGCUUGGAGCCGUUGUGAGGAGCUCUGCGUCCUGUGGGGAGCACCCUUCACGCGGCCGUGCAGCAGAGAAGCAGGGCCCACCUGAAAGCGCGCCGAGACCUCGGGACGGAGGGGAUGGGAAGGGGAAACGGUCGUGGCUUGUGCAGCCCGCCAGCGUCAGUGAACGCUCGCUCAGACACGCUCUGUCCCUCCCUGGACACCGUCAGCCCCGCAGGGACUGAGGUGGAAAGUGUUCUUACUGUGGUUUUGAUUUUUAAUUGCAACACCUUCAGUCUUGUCACUUCUAUAUACUUGGUGUAGAAAAAAUAGAAAACCAGAAAAAUGGGGAAGGAAAUGUUCACAUAACUUUAAAAAAUCAAACCUGUGGAAGAAAGAUGUCAGCUUUUUGCCACGUGUCUUUGUGGCUUAUGUGAGGGAGACUCCCUGUGCAGCCCCGUCCAGUCCAGGUGGAUCCCAGACGGCCCCUGACUCUGCUGCUCUUGACCAAGUGCCUGACCGCCAGGCCCUCACACCCGGGCACCUGGGCACUGUGGUGUGAGGCGAGGCCUCGGGAACCAUCGUGGCAGGAUGUUGUGAAAAGUACUCAAAACGGCAGCCAGGUAGCAAGCCCUUGCCAGUGGAGAGUACUGGAUGUCAUGGUGGGAAACAAGGCAGCCAUUUGUUGUCCUCCUCCCACGAGUGGAAGGGGUUUCCAGGGAAGCCACAGGGUGGCUGACCAUGUGCUUGUGUGAGGCAUUUUCAGUCUGUUCUGCAUCUGAUUCUCAGGGCACACUCUGUGGUGUGUGAAAUAGGUUUCCGUCCACACACAGCAGAAGAGAGGGAAAGGCUGGCAGGAAGGAGGGAGACAUUGGCUGGGGGCUUGGAUGUAGGGCCGUCAGGGCAGGAGGGAGGAAACCCCAGCUGGAAUGAAACUCAGAGCAAGUGACCAAGGGAGGACACCUGACGCCCAGCACUGUCCUGGCGCCAGACACGGAGCAGGCAGUCAAGUGAGGUCUGACCCCCAUGGCCAUGCUCAGGAGAGAAAGAGCACGCUCAGGACACUGUCCAAGGUGCACAAGCUGCUGGGAGGCCCUUUGUUUUGUGAAGAAAGGGAGCAUUUAGAGCAGUUAGUGGUGGUGUGUCCUCCGUGUUCUGAAAUUCCAGAUGAUCUGUGUUGGAUUCUUGGCUUCUACCCCACGAUUCUCCUCAAAGAAGUUGUGUGUGAUGCGUGUGUGUGUGUCUGUGUCACGGGAGGCACAGUGCCUGUGCAGGUGUGCUCAGUGUGUGGAUGUCAUUAACCCAUAGGGCUAUGCAACAAAAGACACAUUUACUAGAAAUAAAACACACAAGACCGCUGCCUGGUCUCGGGGUUCAGCAUGAUUGUGACCAAACCUUUUUAUAGAAUUUCCUUACCUGAAGGCACAACGCUCUGGAACUUUAACGACAACAGAGUAUUUUAUUCCAAUAGAAUAAACCAGGAAUCUCGGACUAUGCAUGUGAUCACUGUGCUCAUGUUGCAAAGUAGAAGGAUGUGUAUUUUGACUGAUGUUUUGUCUCUUGUUCCCCCGCCCCCAGCCCAUGUUAUCUUGGGUGUCAAAUGUGUCCAUUCCAUGCAGAACCACAGCCAUUUCCCCAGGCAGUGUUGGGUCGAGAAUCCACUUUUCUAGACCCACACAGCCUAGCUGGCUUGUCUGGACUCUUCUAGGCAUUGGAAUUGAUGAAAACUACAGGGAGCGGGGAAAGGAGACAUUAUGUCUUGUUUUCCUGACUUUGGGUUUUGUUUCUCACUGUGUCUUCUCCAGCUAUCAUAUAUGUCCCCUGAAUCUCAUAGUGAGUUGCCAAAUUUGAAAUGCAUCACCCAGUUGUCUGCAUCUGGAACCAGUCAAGCAGUGGCUGUAGUUUGAACAAGUUAUGUGUGCAUGUAACAUAUAUACAUAUAUACAUAUAUACAAGUAUGUGCAUGAUAAUGUAUAUCUUCGUACUUUUUGAUACAAUGUAUUCAUUUAAUUUUUAAUUAUAUUUGAUAUAAAUCAAAGGUUUGUUGCAAAACUUUAUAUUUAAGAAGUGUUAAAAAAAAAAAAAA
rnacentral:lncRNA from 1 species